AUCAAAAAGGGGUUACGAGUUAUUCAGCUGGAAGCAGUUCCAAGAAACUGACUGAAUUUUCAGCUUACUUUAAAACUUUCAACCACAAUGGGAAAAAAAUUUACUAUUCGAAAUUCUGUACUGACCGACAACUUCGCCAAUUCUCAAACUUUUAGUGUCUACAAUGUGAUUAUCAUCUCCUUUACGUGUCUAUUUUUCCAAACACUAGGAAAAGAAUACGUCACAAGAGGAAGAGUAACUUUCGGAUUGGAUGUAAUAACAACAGGCUUCGUCCAUUUCGAUAAAGCUGUCUUCGUUUGGUUGUGUUCUUUUGGGUCAGCUUGUGCCUCAUUUCUCUUCUUUAAAAUAUGGUCAAAUCUUAGAGAGUUUGUCAAAGAAACCACCACGAUUUUGGACUGCUUUGGAUUAACAUGUCUGGUUGUGUAUUAUUUUUACACUUGCAAGUUACUCACUGAUGCAGUAUUUUAUUUUGACUUCAAU